rnacentral:lncRNA from 1 species
CGAAUGGGAGCUCAAACUGCAUAAAAGUAUAUUUACUCAAAAAUGGGAGGUGACGAUUGCUAACAUGUCAUAACCAGACUCUGUCAUGACCUCGGCAAGCCACAACAUUGACAAUAAAGAGGAAAGAGGAUCAAGUCCCUAAAUACCCAGGUGAACUAAGACCUUCCCACGUGCCCGAAGAAGAUACACUUGCAGAGGAGAAAUGAUGAUGCAGGGGCCUGCUCCGAGAUGCAGGAGGAAGUUUAAUUGCCUGUGAAUUUCACUGGGAAGGAAGGGAUGAAACGAGGUUUGAAAGGAAAUAGAGAUUGUUAAACUCCUGACUAGGCGAUAACUGCCGUCCUUCUCUUCUAUCUGCCCCUGUGACUAGGCGGUAACUGCCGUCCUUCUCUAAUAUCUGCCCCUGUGACCAGGCGAUAACUGCCGUCCUUCUCUAAUAUCUGCCCCUGUGACUAGGCGAUAACUGCCGUCCUUCUCUAAUAUCUGCCCCUGUGACUAGGCGAUAACUGCCAUCCUUCUCUUCCAUCUGCCCCUGUGACUAGGCGAUAACUGCCGUCCUUCUCUGCUGUCUGCCCCUACCUUGGGCCCCAAAUGGCUCAGCACUAAAGUGCCUUGAGCAGGCUCCAGCCCAAAGGUGGCCUCCAUGGUUACCACUUCCCACUCUGCUGCCCUGCCUCGCUUUCCUCCUCGGCCUUCCCGGAUGGAUGACCGAUGUCAUUCCCAGGUUCCCUAACACUCAAGCCUAGCCCCUCAGUUUCUAGCAAGCAUCAAGCUUCACUGUGUGUCUAGCCUCUCAGGAGUCAGACCUGAGAAGUAUAGCUUGGUGGAAAUUCAGUGGCAGGGAAGAAAGAAGGAAGGAAAGAAGACUCUGAGCUGGAUUCAUACACAUCAUCGCAAUUCAUCCACACCACAGUCCUGUAAGAAGGCUGCAAAACAUACAGCAGAAAGGAUGGCUUGAAGGCAAUUGAUGUUUGUAAAAAAAUCCACAACAGGAUCCAAGCUGAAGAGGUGAACACGUCAGCCUGGUGGGACAAUUCUCAGCAUGUGCAAACAUAGGUAAAUUCUAGCCUAUGUUACAUUAAAAACAAUGUCAGUGCAUUUUUUCAUGUUAAAGUUUUUUUCAAAGCUAAAGUGUGUUCCUUGUUGUGCUGACCACAAACGAGUUUUAAGAGUUUUGAAAGUCUGGCAAAAAUAGAAAAAAAAAAAAAGCUGUAGUGACAUUGAACUGCUCAAUGUAAGCAUUGGGCAUGCACAAAUUUUCAAAACAAAGGAAGGAAAUCAUCCCUCUUACAACAU